GUUUGGGAGAGAACAUGUAAAAAAGAAAAAAAGUGUCAUCUAUGUUUUAUAUAAUCAAGCUUUUUUUUGUAUUUUUAUACUUGAAAAAGAGGAUUCAUAUGCACGUUUAACACAUUUAUCUGUAAAUUUUUAUUUUUCUGCGUUAAAGAUUUCUUUAUUUUUUCUGCUAACCAUGAAACAAAUCAUUAACACAUUUUAUCGUAGAGACCAGGAGGGGCUCCAGAUGCUCGCGGCGGGCAAGAACAUGUAUAGAAAGCACAUGAAACAAUCACCUCUCUGAUAGGAUGCCCUCAUUUUGUAGCUGUUUUCCUCUAUUAUAACCAAUAGCGUACACUACACAGAGUAUACAAUUCAAACUGUUUAUCGAUGGUUUCUUGAUGAAUGUGUGAUUGUUCAAACCAUUUGUGGGUGUUCAAAUCAUGUAUAUAAACCCAGAUAAUAUAUAACAAAAUGGAUUUUAUGUGAAAUUUUUAUAGAAGGAAUUCAAAAAAAAGAAAAAACUCUCCAAAAUGGCAUGCAUACUGUAUACAUUCCUGGAAAUCUGCACGCUGGGUCAACAGAGGUCUCAUUUUCUUGUCAGAAAUUCUGUGUAUACUUGUGAGUGUAUGAUAGAGUAAAACAAAAAUUGUACAGUUACAUAGAUUUUUGUAUUAUGUUCGAAAUGGCAAAGCCCCCAGAGAAAAAAAAAGAAAACAAAAACCGCGACUAUUAUACCUUCAGAGAAAUGAACGAUAUUGUAUAUCAACUAAAUGAUGAGUGGUGCUUGCUGUGUGGGGUAAGUGUUGUUUGUGAAUCGUGAAGAAGAAUGAUAAACUACUACAAAGUCAGUAUAACUAAAGACCAACUAAACAGUGCAAAAACACCGCGCAACUUUGUGUAUGGAAGCUAAAAGUUGCUGCUUCGUGUGAGAAAAACCAACCGAAUGAAAAAGGUUGCUGCUUUUGUACAUUCCUGUUGUGUUUUUGUGACAAUAAAGGUGACCCUCUUAUACACGACGAGCGUCGGCGCCUCAUUUAUUUGACUCGGGCA
ensembl:lncRNA